rnacentral:rRNA from 1 species
AGGACGAACGCUGGCGGCGUGCUUAACACAUGCAAGUCGAGCGAGGCUCUCCCUUCGGGGAGAUGCCCUAGCGGCGAACGGGUGAGUAACACGUGGGUAACCUGCCCCUAGCACUGGGAUAACUCCGGGAAACCGGGGCUAAUACCGGAUAUGACCUUUGAGGGCAUCCUCUUUGGUGUAAAGGAUUCUGGCUAGGGAUGGGCCCGCGGCCUAUCAGCUUGUUGGUGGGGUAAUGGCCUACCAAGGCGACGACGGGUAGCCGGCCUGAGAGGGCGACCGGCCACACUGGGACUGAGACACGGCCCAGACUCCUACGGGAGGCAGCAGUGGGGAAUAUUGCACAAUGGGCGAAAGCCUGAUGCAGCGACGCCGCGUGAGGGAUGACGGCCUUCGGGUUGUAACCUCUUCAGCAGGGACGAAGACGAAGUGACGGUACCGUGCAGAAGAAGCACCGGCAACUACGCGCCAGCAGCCGC